CCUCAAAAUUUCUUAGACUUAUAAAUGUUGGAAAUUUCACCAUUGGGAAAUUUCAUACUUGAAAAAUUUCCUAUUGAUAGUGGGUCUUGACUAUUGGAAUGUGAAUCCCAUUGGCAUGGGAGGUUUCUUCUCCUUCCCUUCUUAAGAUUACUUUAGGACAGAAACCCUUUGCUGAACAAUGGAAUGGACUUUGACCUAUGCUUAAGCAUAGAACAGGAAUUUCUUUGAGUCAUGAUUGAUUUUAGAAUUGAUACAAUGGAGAUACUUGGAAUCAAUCUCCACCCUAUUCAGUUCUAACAGGAUUGAGUAAGGGCUGCAGACUAGAUCAAAAUUUAAUUAUUCCAAUCUCUACCCUACUCAGGUUAACAGGAUUUAGAAAGGGGUUAAGCUAGAGCCUCCAUUGGCACAGGGAAAUUGAUGGACAGUGAUUGGUAGAUGUGAGAACUGAGGGGAGGCAACUUGGAUGGUUUCCUUAAAGAUCAGGGGGGUCUGAAGACUCGGGGUGGUUGAGGAGUUGGCCGGAGUGGUUGCGGUGUGCUCUGAGAAGCUUGCUCUGAAGGAAGCUGAAGGUGGGGGCUCUGAGACUGUUCCUCCAUUUUGGUCACGUGAGUAAUAGGGACUGAUCUCUUUUCUUUGCCCCAGCUAUCUAAGGGCUUGGGCCUUUUGGCCCAGCCUAAACAGAAGGGGUAUUUAAGCCUUAUUCCCUUCUCUCCCUUUUUCUCUCUCUCUAUCUCUAAUUCCUUUCUUACUCCUAUUGUAAUUAAACUCCAUAAAAGAUUUACUGCUGACUUGAGUUUUCAUUUAGGAAUUGCAUAGAUGAAUUCCUUGGCGACCUUAAAUUAAUAUAUAUCAGUCUUUAAAGUGAUUCCCUUGUAACAAUAGGUACUAUAAGGUACAAGGAUUACAUUUCAAAAACAUUUAAUUGCUGGUGUUAUCUUCAUAACUGUAAUGCCUAGUGACUAAUGUUGUAGAUAAAGUUAAAAUAUAUACUGACUGUGCAGACUGACAGAAAAGGGCCAGAGUUCUGGAAUUCUGAGGAUAGGAGCUGCUGUUGAGGAGAAGACAGUUAAGCCUAGGACUGUGGCUUUUUCCCUUCUGGGUGGACCUGAGGAGGACUAGCUCGGACCUGUGGAUUUGACUGCUAAUUUUAUUCAUCAAAUACUACUUGCUUUUUGGAGUAUCCUGUACCUGCUAUCCUUAUGACAUCUACAGAGUUCCUGUACUGUGACAACUAACAGCUGAAUGUGUUGCAAUAUAAUGCUUAGUGCAUAAGAAUGAUUGACAAGUGCAUGAGAUCAGAAUUUUUCCUGGAGCCUGGUGGAGUAGAAUCCCUAAGGGACAGUUGAGCGACUGACUCUCUCUCUCUCUCUGAACCUGGGAGAGGAAGGAGACAGGUGUGUUUUUCUGAAGCAACUUGAGGAUCACAUUUCAAGUUAUAAGCCUGUGAAUAUCUUUUCCUGAGGAUAAGAAGUCAGACUCCAGUCUUCUGCUGGACAGAGAUUGAGAAGCUGAUACAAAUGGGGAAGUGCCAUCUGGGAACUUAUCUUCUGGGAUUUUUGGAUCUUGCUCACCAAGGACUCUUUUGUAAGAUACUGGUUCCUAAUAGACUUUGCCUUUAGAUAACUUAGAGAUUAGAUAGAAUAAGUCAGAUAAUAUAUAUAUAUAUAUAUAUAUAUAUAUAUGAUUCCUCCCUUAUUCUUUUCCUUCCUUUCUCCCUUCUCUCUCUCUGCUAAAUAAAAUCAAAAUAAUUAAGUGUUAUUCUCCCUGUGUUUCUUCCCUAAAACCCCUCCAAAUCUAAUUGUACUCUUACAAUGGCUGAGCCAGGUAGACUGUAAAACCUAAAUUGAAUCUAGUAUUUUUUUAGUUAGUUAGAUAGGGUUAAACAGAGAAAGUCAGUUAGUUGGAACAUUUGAAAGUCACUCAGUAGACAGUCCACUGAGUGGAGUCAGUGGAAUUCUAAGACUGUAGGCAAGCUAGUGGGAGCAUUUAAAUAUUAAAAGACCUAUUCCCACAUAUCCCACAAGGUGGCCAUCUUGGGUGGCCAUAUUGGAAAAUUUCAUUUUUUUCAAAUUUUAACUUUUUUGUAAUAUUUUAUUUAAAAUCUAUUCACAGUGGAGUAUAAUACCACUAAUUUACUAGUGUAAAAUGUUUUCACUAUGAAUGUAAACAUGACAGGAGAUAUAAUAAUGAAUAUUGUAAUGAUCUUUUUGAACUGCAUUCUGCAUAUCCCUUACAUUGUGUUUAUGUUAUUUUCUAAUAUGUGUAGAAUGAUAUUAGAAUAUGAAUGGAUGAAAACUAUAAUGGAAGUUAAGAUGAAAACUGUCCUGUCACAUAUCCCCAUUGUUUGCAUCUAUUUGUAUGUCUUGUUCAAGUGUAGAGUGGCAAUCUUUUACACCAGCAAAUGCUUAAAGGCUUAAAUGCUUAAAAAUGCUUAAAAUGCUUAAAAAAUACAUCUGGGUAACUAAGGAUUCAGAACUUAAAUUGAGGGUGUUGCAAAUGAAACAACAGCUGGACCAGAUGGAGUUAUAUAUAAAAGAAUACAAGAUGUUAAACAAGGAACAUGAGUGUGGGAAUACUGGAAACACUGGGGAAAUGAAACAACUAAAUAAAUUACAGCAAGAAGAGGCUAGUAGGAUGGCUACCCUAUGUCUAUAGUCUCUAGGGAUGAAAUAUUUCAAGUUAAAACUUACAAGAGAUUCACUGCAGAGGACCAGGAGUCCAUUAAAAGAAGACCUCCUAGCUUUGUCAAAGAACCAAAAUGAGUAAUAAAAGAAAUGAAGAGAUCAAUAGAUUUGGUUGGAUCCCGACUACAAUAACUUUGCAUUAUUGAUGAAGGAGCUAUUGACAGAGAGUGUAACAGAUUUAUUGAUGAGAGUAGGGAGGACCCCAUUCUACCAUCAUGGCCAGAGCAUUACCCUGUGGGUAAGAAGAGCAAAAUCCAAUAUGAUAGAAUGAAAGAGUGUAGGCAAGCAAUCACUGAGGUCAUGGGAAGCCACCCUAAAAGACCAAAUGCCUGUUCAAAAUUUGAAUCAAUUAAACAAAAUAUCACUGAAAUACCUACAGCCUUUUAAGACAGAAUUACAGAAGCAGAUGAGACAUUCCUAAAUAUGGAUGUGUUCAAGGAAGGAACAAUAGCUCACAUAAAAAGGGUCUAUAUUAAAAAUGCAAUCCCCAAGAUUAAGUUCUUUAAAAAUAAUUACCCCAACUAGGAAGAAAUGGAUCUGGAAGAUCUCAGGCAUAAAAUAACUUACUUGACUAAUGACACUGAAGAUAGAUAUAAAGAAAAAGAUUCUGUAGUGGAGGACUUAAAAAGGAAGCUUAGGGAAGCAGAGAUAAAAGCCAAAGAGAGUGAAAUAAAUGAGGUCAAGGCAGUGUCUGCUUUAAGAUCUUUGUAGCCUAAGAACAAUUAUAGAUCUAGUGACAGAAAGUCAGGUCCCAGAAGGUGCUUUUUAUGUGAUUGUGUUGAGCACAUUUUCAGAGACUGCAGGUAUAAGAUCCAAUUUAAGACAGAUGAACAUAAAUGGUGGAUUUAAUAGGCAAUAUAAAAAUAACAACUUGAGCAAUAAUCAUUAUAAUAAUUGAAAUAACCAGUGGAAUAAUAAUAAUUAUUAUCAAAUGAGAAAUGUAAAUCAGCACCAAAAUGCCUGUUCCCAAGGAACCCAAGCCCCAGAUCUGAUGACUAUGCAGGAUUGGGUAAAGUCUGGAGCUAGGCCAAAGUAUAGCCAGGUUGGCAAUGGAGACCAGAGCCAAUGUGUAUGUUUGUUAUGAAGGUUUACCCAGAAUAAAUCUGUAAUUGAAUCAAAGGAUAAUGAGUUGAGUAUAAAUGAAAAUGAGUGUAUUGAUAAUAAAGUUGAUGAAGAUAUAAAUGAAUUAAA